UUGUUUCAGGGCUGCCUGUCUCAGCUGGAUGAGGAGUUGGUGUUAAACCCGCUGGCGCUCUGCAGUAACCUGUACCAGCACCUGAGGAGCAGAGGUCUGCUGUCACAGCCGCGAUACCCGUACAGAGUCCAGUCAGCGGCUCCCCACAGAGAGCAGCUUCACACACCUGAGGGGCCAAAGAACCGAGCGGCGCAGCAGCUGCAGAAUCUAGGGCGCCAACACGGAUCGCACAGCAAGGUCAAGGCCACGGUGGCCCCGCUGCCCCCCUCCACCUCUUCCUUUUCCUCCUUCCUGGGACCUCCUCCAUCGAAGCGUCCCGCUCUGAGCUUCCUCAGCAGCCGCCGCCGCCGCCGCCCGACUCAGCCAGACGACGAGGACGGUGACGACGACAGCGCGGCGAGGAUGCAGUAAGAGCUCAGAGAGAGCAGAGCCCGAUUCCCACACACAGUCACCCAAACUGUCUCCAAGUUCUCGUUCAUGUUGUUUUUAAAGAGUUCGUGUGGAACGUCACACAUUUGCUCUGUGAACGUCCACAAAAGCCGGCGUCCACAUUCUUCUCCAUUCUGCUCUUAAACCCCAGUGUGAGCACAGCUUUAGUGUUUAAAUGGGAAUAAAGCUGCAGACAGGGGGGCCCCUCUGCGCCCCCCCUCCAGACAAAGCACCCAACAAAAACUGGUCCCAUCUGCAAAAAGGGAAAAUGUCAUAAGAAAGGACUUUGACGCUGUUCUGACAGCAAAGCCCAACAAU
rnacentral:lncRNA from 1 species